ensembl:lncRNA
GCCCAGGUGUAGAGCUCAGAGGGACCAGGUCAGAGUGAAACCAUUCCACGAGUGGUAAAUACUGCAUGAGGAUGAUCCCACUUUAUCUAACUUCAGUGUCCAAUAUGCAGCCAAAUGUCUUCUCUGAGUUUAUCACCCUAGUUUGCUCUGUAGGGGUGACUCACAGAGUGGAUAUGGACAGAGAUCUUAAAGGGAUGUACAUCCAUAUGAAGAAUCUGCAGACUAGCUGUACACAGGGGUCUAGAUGAUGUUCUUCAAACAGACUUUGUUUGGAGGCUUAUUAGCACUGCUACAUGUUGCUGGCAGCCAGCAGCCCUGCUCCCUGCUACCUGUGGUCAUGGCAGCUUUCUCCCUCACCUUCUCUCUCAAUACUGGUGAAAAACAGCACACUGAGGAUUAUAUGGAGCAUGAAAUGGCCCAGGAACGGUUUUUCUCGUGCUACUUAAACUUCAUUUAAUGAAGCUGAAAUACAAUGCCAUCAGCUGAAAAAUGUGAUGGGAAUUCACCUCAUCGGCUCAGGAAAGCAUCUGUUGUGGUGAUCUGAAGCUGUCUUAGCUAAAGGCUAAACUGUGCUAUUUUUAAAGCACAUUCCCAUCAUGGAAACGAGGAAAUGGAGUCAGUGGAGCAGUUCACAGAGGAAUGAUUGAAAGCUUGAGAUAUACGUUGCAGGGGAGAGAGCAGCAAGCCACUAAGGCUAAUAUUUAGGACAUAUCAAACUCUAACACUUCUGUAAUUUCAAUUGUUUUAAGAAUGUCACGCUCAUCAUUCUGUUUUUGAUUAAAAGGUGCUGGAACAUUUUUUGGACCAUAUUUGUGAUUCUUCUCCAUCUCUUGUUUUGCAGUCAUUUCUCACCAAAUUGAACAGUGUAGGAUAAUUGUUCCAGGCAAACUAAGAGUAUCAGACUCUUUGUUCAUAACACAGACCCAUUCUAAACCAUUUCGUAAUCAACCCAGAAUGAGUAUUUUUAUAUCUGUGUCUGGGUCAUAAGUUUACUGACCCAACACAUGAAGGAAAACAAUUAGAAAUUUACUGCUCCACUGAAAUAACUAAUCACCCAUGCAUUAGGAAGGAAUACAACUGCAGUAUAAUCAUGAGAUAAAGAAGGCAAAAGCUACUGCAAAUGAGGGAAAUAGAGAUAAUGAUGUAUUCCAGCUCCAUGCAGAUAACUAUGGAUAAGUAAUUACGGUGAGAUUAUUGGAGUGUGGCCAGUUCUUUUGCUGAAGUGUCUGUUAGAUGUUUUUCUCUUUGAUUGUGGAACGUACUUUUUGUUGUCCGUGUUUAGGGUAAGAGCUGGAUAUUCAGAAAUGCUGACAACAAGAAACUCUAGACUGCUUCCAUUGCAAGUCUUCCAGUCACGCUAAUGAGGGCAAAGUUUUGCACUAAUAGUAAAACUCUGAAUGUUCUCAGCCUCUAAAAAUACAUCCUUGUUUAGAUACACAUAAUGUAUUAGCAAAUAUUUACUUGUAACUGGGAGUUUUGCUGUAUGCAAUUUCAGGUUCUGCAAUCCUGAAGAUGUUUAUGGCUAUGAUUAACUUUGCAUGUGGUUUCAAAGCUAAUAGCACAAGUGAUAGUGUUUAAAAUGAAGUACGUCUCUAGGACCUUGCAAAAUACAGGAUUCAUCCCUAAAUUCUAUGAAAUAAAUUCAUAAUGGCACAGAAUCA